rnacentral:tRNA from 1 species
GCCGACGUAGCUCAGUGGAAGAGCAUCCGCCUGUCGAGCGGAGGGCCGCCGGUUCGAUUCCCGUCGUUGGCG